rnacentral:lncRNA from 1 species
CAUACAUCUUUGUCAAGUCUGCUGAAAUUUGGCUGAUUAUUGUGGUCAAAUUUAGUGUAAUUUGCAACUGGAAUAGCCAUAUUCUGUUUUAAGGUCAUUCAGUCUCUUUUGGCAGCUGAUAUAAGUCACAAUUGAUAAAACAAAGUUGCUCAAACCUUGAAAUUGGACUUCUAAUCACUGCUGUGCAUUUUGACCAUUCAAUCCACCAAGUUUUGGAUAUUGUUUCUGGUAUAGUUG